rnacentral:rRNA from 1 species
AGCAGCCGCGGUAAUUCCAGCUCCAAUAGCGUAUAUUAAAGUUGUUGCAGUUAAAAAGCUCGUAGUUGAAUUUCGGGAUCAAUAUGUCUGUCGUGCCUUUGGUACGUACGGGUAUAAUUGGUUUCUACCUUCUGAUGAACCUUGAUGCCAUUAAUUUGGUGUCUUGGGGACUCAGGACUGUUACCUUGAAAAAAAUUAGAGUGUUUAAAGCAGGCAUACGCUUGAAUACAUUAGCAUGGAAUAAUGAAAUAGGACGUUCGAUUCUAUUUUGUUGGUUUCUAGGAUCGACGUAAUGAUUAAUAGGGAUAGUUGGGGGGCAUUAGUAUUCAAUUGUCAGAGGUGAAAUUCUUGGAUUUAUUGAAGACUAACUACUGCGAAAGCAUUUGCCAAGGAUGUUUUCAUUAAUCAAGAACGAAAGUUAGGGGAUCGAAGACGAUCAGAUACCGUCGUAGUCUUAACCAUAAACUAUGCCGACUAGGGAUCGGAUGAUGUUAAUUUUUUAAUGACUCAUUCGGCGUCC